AUCCAGCCUGGCCUUGAAUGCCUCCAGGGAUGGGGCAUCCACAGCCUCCUUGGGCAACCUGUUCCAGUGUGACACCACCUGUGUGUGGUUUUGGCCAUGAAAUAUCGGUCGGGAAAGGCAGCAGGUUCCAGAGCUCCGACAGCUCCAGCAGCCCAGGAACCGGCACGUCACAAUCAGACGUCUCACGGGCCGCCAAACGGCAGCCCGGCAACGCAGCUGCCGCACCUCCGGUCCGCGCCCUGACGGCAGCCGGAGAGCAAAGCGAGCCACCAGUUCUCUCCUCGUUAGUAUAGUGGACUGUGUUCCUCCUGUCUUGAAGAGGAAAGAAAGUUUUCUAACUGAAAAAAUGUACAAAGGAAUCUAAGAAGAAUGUUCUUUUGAAGAACGUUUGCACUCCCCAGGCCCUGUACAUAAUGACACAACUUAACUACUUUCCAGCCACAUAUCUGCAUUUGGAGAGGCCAGCUAACUUCAGAUCAUAUAAAUAUCACAAUGUACAGAAGACAAAUAAUCUCCUACACAGAAGCUGGGACAUCAUCAUUUAAGAGUUACUGUCACAGUUCCAAGUGUUUCUCCAUGGCAGACUGAAGAACAGUGAUUACUUUCUACAAUUUAGAAGUUAGAAGUCUCAAAUGGAAGACAACAGACUGAUAAGGAUAUCAACUAUAAUAUACAAAGUCUCUGAC